GCGACGAAUUUUUCUCAGGCUGGAGAAGCGCAGUGGAGAGACAAGGCCGAUGUACCGCUGCAUCAACUUAAAUGCACAACAUCUCCCUGGGAGCCGGUGACAUCAUGGCCCCAUACGAUGAAGUGCAGGACGACAUGCCAGAGGAUGAGGAGGGGGAGAACGUGUUGGAGGCAGUCAGUGGUGCUCCCUGGCGGGACCAGCUGUCUGCCGAGGUGUCUGCCCUGGAGGAGGGUCUACCCGACCACGAUUACAUUUAGAUG